CAAAGUGUCACCGUGACCUUGAAAAUUAUGUGAAGGUCACCAAAAUCGACUGGGCCCUGCGCCUUCCCUCGAUGAAGCUUGAUGUCGAAUAUGAA